AUUGAACGCUGGCGGCAUGCCUAACACAUGCAAGUCGAACGGCAGCACAGGAGCUUGCUCCUGUUGGGGGGUGGGGGAGGGGUGCGUGAUAGAUAGGAAUCGGUACUGACUUGGGCGAUAGCGAGAAGGAAGCGGGAUUAAUACUACUACCGCACACCGCCUACAAGCGAGAGAAGUUGAUGCUCCGACCUUUCGCGAUUGCAGAUGGCGAUGUCGGAUUAGCUAGUUGGAGGGGUAAAGGCCCACCAAGGCGACGAUCCGUAGCUGGUCUGAGAGGAUGACCAGCCACACUGGGACUGAGACACGGUCCAGACUCCUACGGGAGGCAGCAGUGGGGAAUUUUGGACAAUGGGCGAAAGCCUGAUCCAGCAAUGCCGCGUGUGUGAAGAAGGCCUUCGGGUUGUAAAGCACUUUUGUCCGGAAAGAAAACCUGCGCUCUAAUACCGUCGGGUGAUGACGGUACCGGAAGAAUAAGCACCGGCUAACUACGUG
rnacentral:rRNA from 1 species